GAGUUUGAUCCUGGCUCAGAUUGAACGCUGGCGGCAGGCUUAACACAUGCAAGUCGAACGGUAACAGGACUAGCUUGCUAGUCGCUGACGAGUGGCGGACGGGUGAGUAACGCGUAGGAAUCUACCAGGUAGUGGGGGACAACAGUUGGAAACGACUGCUAAUACCGCAUACGCCCUGAGGGGGAAAGGAGGGGAUCUUCGGACCUCGUCGCUAUCUGAUGAGCCUGCGUGAGAUUAGAUAGUAGGUGGGGUAAUGGCCUACCAAGGCGACGAUCUCUAGCUGGUCUGAGAGGAUGAUCAGCCACACUGGGACUGAGACACGGCCCAGACUCCUACGGGAGGCAGCAGUGGGGAAUAUUGCACAAUGGGGGAAACCCUGAUGCAGCCAUGCCGCGUGUGUGAAGAAGGCCUUCGGGUUGUACAGCACUUUCAGUUGUGAGGAAAGGUUAGUAGUUAAUACCUGCUAGCUGUGACGUAAGCAACAGAAGAAGCACCGGCUAACUCCGUGCCAGCAGCCGCGGUCACUACGGAGGGUGCAAG
rnacentral:rRNA from 1 species